rnacentral:rRNA from 1 species
UUUACGGAGAGUUUGAUCCUGGCUCAGGACGAACGCUGGCGGCGUGCUUAACACAUGCAAGUCGAACGAUGAAGCCCAGCUUGCUGGGUGGAAGAGUGGCGAACGGGUGAGUAACACGUGAGUAACCUGCCCUGAACUCUGGGAUAAGCACUGGAAACGGUGUCUAAUACUGGAUACGACCUAUCACCGCAUGGUGUGUGGGUGGAAAGAUUUAUCGGUUUUGGAUGGACUCGCGGCCUAUCAGCUAGAUGGUGAGGUAAUGGCUCACCAUGGCGACGACGGGUAGCCGGCCUGAGAGGGUGACCGGCCACACUGGGACUGAGACACGGCCCAGACUCCUACGGGAGGCAGCAGUGGGGAAUAUUGCACAAUGGGCGCAAGCCUGAUGCAGCAACGCCGCGUGAGGGAUGACGGCCUUCGGGUUGUAAACCUCUUUUAGUAGGGAAGAAGCGAAAGUGACGGUACCUGCAGAAAAAGCACCGGCUAACUACGUGCCAGCAGCCGCGGUAAUACGUAGGGUGCAAGCGUUGUCCGGAAUUAUUGGGCGUAAAGAGCUCGUAGGCGGCUUGUCGCGUCUGCUGUGAAAUCCCGGGGCUCAACCCCGGGCCUGCAGUGGGUACGGGCAAGCUAGAGUGCGGUAGGGGAGAUUGGAAUUCCUGGUGUAGCGGUGGAAUGCGCAGAUAUCAGGAGGAACACCGAUGGCGAAGGCAGAUCUCUGGGCCGCUACUGACGCUGAGGAGCGAAAGCAUGGGGAGCGAACAGGAUUAGAUACCCUGGUAGUCCAUGCCGUAAACGUUGGGAACUAGAUGUAGGGCCUGUUCCACGGGUUCUGUGUCGUAGCUAACGCAUUAAGUUCCCCGCCUGGGGAGUACGGCCGCAAGGCUAAAACUCAAAGGAAUUGACGGGGGCCCGCACAAGCGGCGGAGCAUGCGGAUUAAUUCGAUGCAACGCGAAGAACCUUACCAAGGCUUGACAUAGCCGAGAACGCUGUAGAGAUACAGAACUCUUUGGACACUCGGUUACAGGUGGUGCAUGGUUGUCGUCAGCUCGUGUCGUGAGAUGUUCGGUUAAGUCCGGCAACGAGCGCAACCCUCGUCCUAUGUUGCCAGCACGUUAUGGUGGGAACUCAUGGGAUACUGCCGUGGUCAACACGGAGGAAGGUGGGGAUGACGUCAAAUCAUCAUGCCCCUUAUGUCUUGGGCUUCACGCAUGCUACAAUGGCCGAUACAAAGGGCUGCGAUACCGCGAGGUGGAGCGAAUCCCAAAAAGUCGGUCUCAGUUCGGAUUGGGGUCUGCAACUCGACCCCAUGAAGUCGGAGUCGCUAGUAAUCGCAGAUCAGCAACGCUGCGGUGAAUACGUUCCCGGGCCUUGUACACACCGCCCGUCAAGUCAUGAAAGUCGGUAACACCCGAAGCCGGUGGCCUAACCCUUGUGGAGGGAGCCGUCGAAGGUGGGACUGGUGAUUAGGACUAAGUCGUAACAAGGUAGCCGUACCGGAAGGUGCGGCUGGAUCACCUCCUUUCUAAGGA